rnacentral:rRNA from 1 species
AAAUUGAAGAGUUUGAUCAUGGCUCAGAUUGAACGCUGGCGGCAGGCCUAACACAUGCAAGUCGAACGGUAGCACAGAGAGCUUGCUCUCGGGUGACGAGUGGCGGACGGGUGAGUAAUGUCUGGGAAACUGCCUGAUGGAGGGGGAUAACUACUGGAAACGGUGGCUAAUACCGCAUAACGUCGCAAGACCAAAGAGGGGGACCUUCGGGCCUCUUGCCAUCAGAUGUGCCCAGAUGGGAUUAGCUGGUUGGUGAGGUAACGGCUCACCAAGGCGACGAUCCCUAGCUGGUCUGAGAGGAUGACCAGCCACACUGGAACUGAGACACGG